UUUGAGGAGCAGAUUCGAACAAUCAUAUCAGAGUACAAAACCGCUGUCAAAAGCAACGACAGGCUCCGCCGCAGUCAGAGGUUUCGUAAGAAAAUGCAGCCACAGGAUCAGUCAACUGCCACAUCCAGUCAAAAAAAGAAUGCAGUCAAAACUCAGGAAAAAAUGGAGUCGGCAUCAGCGAACAAAUCUACCUCAGCCAAAGUGUCUGUUCCCGAGAGAGCCAGGAGGAGUCGGAGCAGCUCAGGUCACAGCUCGUCAGAGAACGACUCGGGCUCCAAAGCAGCUUCGUCAACAUCAGAUUCUGAUGGUGAGUCUGAGGAGAAACAUUCAAGCUCUUCCAAGGCAUAAUCAGCGCAGACAGAAGGCACGAGUUACCAGAAGCAACCGCCCCAAAGCAAAGGAAGAGAGUUGCCGAUAGUGACAGUGAUGAAGAUAUUGACAGUGAAGCUGAAGAGGAAGAAGAUGGAGCUUUGCUCCACUCAGUCCUCAGAUCGUAUUUAUCCCAGCAGGAGCACACGGCUGACGAGAAGCAUCGCUUCACGGUAACAUGCCUCAUUGGCUGCUGUUACAGUCGGGUGACCAUAUUUGAAUUUUGAAAAAGGGGACACGUGGGUGGACCUCUGCAUACUUCAAGUCUGCCCUUGAAAAAAUCUCAUAUACCUUCUUAAAAUCUCUCAAUCAGUAUAUCAAUUAGGAACAUCUCCUAGAAAUAGGAAAAAAAAACAUAACAGCAAAUGAUCAUUAAUAUACACCUCACUAAAUAACUUUGAAAAUUUGCUUCACAUGGUCCCAUGCUGACUCUGAGUUUUAUUCUGUCUGUCGUCUGUGGAGACGGAAUUGUACCGUAACCUCCUACAUUCUAUGUUUCUCCCGAUGGCUCUAUCGUUUUCAAGCCCAUCCCCGAUCCUCCAUGGAGGUUUUGUCAUCCAAGAGGAUCUUCCUGCUGAUAUUUUUUCAUUAAAUCCACCAGUAUUUUUGUCUCUUUGAAUUCAUUUUGGACUUUAGUCUCUCUCUUCUCUCUAACCUGUGUCUGACGAUUUUGUCAAAACAAAGCAGCAUUUAUAUAAUGGCUCUGUCACGCGUGAGUAAAAAUUAUCGCAAUUACAUUAUAUUGGCUUGUAAAGAUUAGCUUUAAGAAACUGCUGGAAUUUUUCCGAUAAAGCAAAUAUUAGCAGAGUUUCAAUUAACGUGUUCCCCUAGAGGUGUUCAGGGUCCCUGGGAAACCCGGACAUUUUGAUAAGUUUGUAAAAUCCGGCUGGAUGGUUUGGACAAGACGUGAAAAGACAUGUCCUGAUAAAUCUGGACGUAUGGUCACCCUAUGCUCCAGCCAAUGAGCUGCUGAUUCAUAUCGUCUUUGUUUUCAAUGAUGUCU
rnacentral:lncRNA from 1 species